GCAGCUUGCUGCUUUGCUGACGAGUGGCGGACGGGUGAGUAAUGUCUGGGAAACUGCCUGAUGGAGGGGGAUAACUACUGGAAACGGUAGCUAAUACCGCAUAACGUCGCAAGACCAAAGAGGGGGACCUUAGGGCCUCUUGCCAUCGGAUGUGCCCAGAUGGGAUUAGCUAGUAGGUGGGGUAACGGCUCACCUAGGCGACGAUCCCUAGCUGGUCUGAGAGGAUGACCAGCCACACUGGAACUGAGACACGGUCCAGACUCCUACGGGAGGCAGCAGUGGGGAAUAUUGCACAAUGGGCGCAAGCCUGAUGCAGCCAUGCCGCGUGUAUGAAGAAGGCCUUCGGGUUGUAAAGUACUUUCAGCGGGGAGGAAGGGAGUAAAGUUAAUACCUUUGCUCAUUGACGUUACCCGCAGAAGAAGCACCGGCUAACUCCGUGCCAGCAGCCGCGGUAAUACGGAGGGUGCAAGCGUUAAUCGGAAUUACUGGGCGUAAAGCGCACGCAGGCGGUUUGUUAAGUCAGAUGUGAAAUCCCCGGGCUCAACCUGGGAACUGCAUCUGAUACUGGCAAGCUUGAGUCUCGUAGAGGGGGGUAGAAUUCCAGGUGUAGCGGUGAAAUGCGUAGAGAUCUGGAGGAAUACCGGUGGCGAAGGCGGCCCCCUGGACGAAGACUGACGCUC
rnacentral:rRNA from 1 species